rnacentral:lncRNA from 1 species
CUAAAUACUUGUGUACUUAUUCCAUUGCCAUUACCUCGUACUUCAAACUGUAGUUGCUGAGGUACACAUUUUUUAAUGCUAAGAUGUUCCAUAUUUUCAGUGGAACUAAGAGAAAAGGAAGAGAAAAUUAAAUAGUUAUCUUCAAAGUACACCUUGCACUCAGCCAAUAUGUGACCUGCAACCUACCCAGGGAUGAACAGAGAAAUCAUGUAGAUCAGCUGCAGCUGCUACCAUUGUCCUCUCCAGCUGGUUAACACAUAAGAAUUUUAAUCAUGGGCCUCAGCAAAGAAUCACGAUUUAAAAUUUCCAGAAUCUCCAGAGAACUCGCUGCAGCUUUUUAAGCUAAACAUUUUCU